AUUGAACGCUGGCGGCAUGCCUUACACAUGCAAGUCGAACGGCAGCACGGGAGCAAUCCUGGUGGCGAGUGGCGAACGGGUGAGUAAUACAUCGGAACGUGCCCAGUUGUGGGGGGAUAGCCCGGCGAAAGCCGGAUUAAUACCGCAUACGACCUACGGGUGAAAGCGGGGGAUCGCAAGACCUCUCGCAAUUGGAGCGG
rnacentral:rRNA from 1 species